UUUGACUCAACGCGGGAAAUCUUACCGGGUCCGGACACACUGAGGAUUGACAGAUAUACGCUCAUGCGUGCUUCGGCGCGCUGGGCUGAAAGAUGCUAGUUCUUUCAUGAUUAUGUGAUAGGUGGUGCAUGGCCGUUCUUAGUUCGUGGAGUGAUCUGUCUGCUUAAUUGCGUAUCAAUAAUAGAGACCUAGUAUACGCGUGGAUUUCGCGUGGUAGUGACCCCCUGUUUAACGACAGGCGUGUGUCGCACACGCGUACCUACGCACUGGUCUCAGAUAGCAACGAACGUGACCGUAUUCUAUUGUUGCAGUGAAAUGUGCCUUCGGGSACGACCCACUGCUUAGUGUGAGCUUGCCUCGUGUAAGCAUCACACAUUAAACUAUAGAGACCGCUGUUUCUUCUUUAAACCAGAGGAAGGAUACGGCAAUAACAGGUCUGAGAUGCCUCAGAUGU
rnacentral:rRNA from 1 species